rnacentral:rRNA from 1 species
CCUACGGGUGGCAGCAGUAGGGAAUCUUUCACAAUGGGCGAAAGCCUGAUGGAGCAACGCCGCGUGCAGGAUGAAGGCCUUCGGGUUGUUAACCGCUUUUGUAAGCGAGAAAUAUUAUGGUAACUAAUUAAUAAUGAUUGGCUAACUACGUUCCAGAAGCCGCGGUCAUACGUAGUCGCCGAGCAUGAUCUGGUGUGUCUGUGCGUAAAGAGGUGCGUAUGUUGGUUAAUAAGUGGUUAGGGAAAUAGGGUGGGGCAAACAUUCAGACUGUUAGCGAAACUGUUAAGCUCGAGACUGUUAGGGGUAAGUGGAAGUCGUGGUGUAGCGGUGAAAUCCGUAGAUAUUAGGAGGAACACCAAUAGCGUAGGCAGGUUGCUGGGACGGUACUGACGCUAAGGCACGAAAGCGUAGGGAGCAAACAGGAUUAGAUACCCCUGUAGUC